rnacentral:misc_RNA from 1 species
GAAAUGCGAUAAGUAAUGUGAAUUGCAGAAUUCAGUGAAUCAUCGAAUCUUUGAACGCAGAUUGCGCCCGCCAGCACUCUGGCGGGCAUGCCUGUUCGAGCGUCAUUUCAACCCUCAGAACCCCUUGCGGGAUCUGGCGUUGGAGAUUGGCAUCCAGCCAGCCCCGAAAUCUAGUGGCGGUCCCUCCGCGACCUCCCCUGUGCAGUAGCGAUACCUCGCAGCGGGACAGCGGUCUGACCACGCCGUAAAACCCCCAACUUCUCAAGGUUGACCUCGAAUCAGGUAGGAAUACCCGCUGAACUUAAGC